GUUUGAUCAUGGCUCAGGACGAACGCUGGCGGCGUGCUUAACACAUGCAAGUGGAGCGACGAACCAGGCUUCGGCCUGGGGCAAAGCCGCGAACGGGUGAGUAACACGUGGGUAACCUGCCCUGAUGAUCGGGACAACCCGGGGAAACCCGGGCUAAUACCGAAUGUGCCCGCGAGCCACAAGGCUCGCGCGGAAAGGAAGCUUUGGCCUCCGCAUCGGGAUGGGCCCGCGGCCCAUUAGCUUGUUGGUGGGGUAAUGGCCUACCAAGGCAGCAAUGGGUAGCUGGUCUGAGAGGACGAUCAGCCACACUGGGACUGAGACACGGCCCAGACUCCUACGGGAGGCAGCAGUGGGGAAUCUUGCGCAAUGCGCGAAAGCGUGACGCAGCAACGCCGCGUGGGGGAAGACGGCCUUCGGGUUGUAAACCCCUUUCAGUUGGGACGAAGCUUCGUCGGUGAAUAGCCGGCUGGAGUGACGGUACCUUCAGAAGAAGCCCCGGCUAACUACGUGCCAGCAGCCGCGGUAAUACGUAGGGGGCAAGCGUUGUCCGGAAUCAUUGGGCGUAAAGAGCGUGUAGGCGGCCCGAUAAGUCCGCCGUGAAAGUCCAGGGCUCAACCCUGGAAUGCCGGUGGAUACUGUCGGGCUAGAGUCCG
rnacentral:rRNA from 1 species